rnacentral:rRNA from 1 species
AUUGAACGCUGGCGGCAGGCCUAACACAUGCAAGUCGAGCGCGAAAAGUUUUCGGACUGAGUAAAGCGGCGGACGGGUGAGUAAUGCAUGGGAAUCUGCCUGGUAGUGGGGGACAACGUUUCGAAAGGAACGCUAAUACCGCAUACGCCCUACGGGGGAAAGGGGGGAGGUCUUCGGACCUCUCGCUAUCAGAUGAGCCCAUGUCAGAUUAGCUUGUUGGUGAGGUAAAGGACUCACCAAGGCGACGAUCUGUAACUGGUCUGAGAGGAUGAUCAGUCACACUGGAACUGAGACACGGUCCAGACUCCUACGGGAGGC